rnacentral:rRNA from 1 species
UAGGAAUCUACCUAGUAGUAUGGGAUAGCCACUAGAAAUGGUGGGUAAUACUGUAUAAUCCCUGCGGGGGAAAGAUUUAUCGCUAUUAGAUGAGCCUAUGUUAGAUUAGCUAGUUGGUAGGGUAAAGGCCUACCAAGGCGAUGAUCUAUAGCUGGUCUGAGAGGAUGAUCAGCCACACUGGAACUGAGAUACGGUCCAGACUCCUACGGGAGGCAGCAGUGGGGAAUAUUGGACAAUGGGCGCAAGCCUGAUCCAGCUAUGCCGCG